rnacentral:rRNA from 1 species
GAUGAACGCUAGCGGCAGGCUUAAUACAUGCAAGUCGAGGGGCAGCGCAGUGUAGCAAUACAUGGGCGGCGACCGGCAAACGGGUGCGGAACACGUACGCAACCUUCCUUUAACUGGGAGAUAGCCCACCGAAAGGUGGAUUAAUAUCCCAUAGUAUAUUUGAAUGGCAUCAUUUAGAUAUUAAAGCUCCGGCGGUUAAAGAUGGGCGUGCGUCUGAUUAGGUAGUUGGCGGGGUAACGGCCCACCAAGCCCACGAACAGUAGCUGAUGUGAGAGCAUGAUCAGCCACACGAGCACUGAGAAACGGGCCCGACUCCUACGGGAGGCAGCAGUAAGGAAUAUUGGUCAAUGGACGCAAGUCUGAACCAGCCAUGCCGCGUGGAGGAUGAAGGCCCUCUGGGUUGUAAACUUCUUUUCUUUGGGACGAAACCCCUGUUUCUACGGGGACUGACGGUACCAGAGGAAUAAGCACCGGCUAACUCCGUGCCAGCCGCCGCAGUAA